UUCCUCAAGGAGCGCUGCAGCGACCGGGCAUGAGGCCCGGCGUCAGGCUUGAGAUUUCCAACCGCGCUCACCUGCA
rnacentral:ncRNA from 1 species